rnacentral:lncRNA from 1 species
GCGCUCUGACUAUCACAAAAUAGAGCAAUCUUCUCUAGUUUGUGUCCGAGCUCCUCCAUUAUCAUUUGCAACCAGAUUGCCUCUUUACUGGCUUGUGUAGCUGCCACGUAUUCUGCCUCUAUAGUAGAAGUAGCCACGAUAGACUGCAGUUUCGAAACCCAACUUACAGCUCCUCCAGCAAGAGUAAACACAUAUCCUGUGGUGGAUUUGCUUUUAUCAAGAUCACCUGCAUAAUCUGAAUCAACAUAGCUUCUGACAAUAAAGUCUGAUCCUCCAUAACAUAAUGUAGCAUUUGAGGUACCCUUGACAUAUCUCAGGAUCCUCUUCACAGUACUCCAAUGCUCUUUACCAGGAUUUGCCAUGUAUCGACUAACCGCUCCCACUGCUUGUGCAAUGUCUGGUCUUGUACAAAUCAUAGCAAACAUCAAACUACCCACUGCUGAUGCAUAUGGUACUCGAGACAUCUCCAUCCUCUCUGCUUCAUUGCUAGGACUCAUACUUGAGGAUAACUUGAAAUUAAUAGAAAGUGGGGUAGAAAUUGGCUUACACUCUUGCAUAUUGAAGCGACGCAAGAUUUUCUUCAAGUAGUUCUUCUGAUUAAGCCAAAUCUUCCUAUUAUUUCUAUCUCGGUAAAUUUGCAUUUCUAGAAUCUUGUUUGCCUGUCCCAAGUCCUUCAUUUCAAAUUCCCUAGCCAACUGUGCCUUCAAGUUUUCAAUACGAUCUUUGUUGGGGCCUGCUACCAACAUGUCGUCAACGUACAACAGCAAGAUAAUGAAAUCAUUAUCACCAAAUCUCAUGUAGUAUGCACAUGGAUCUGAACAGAGUCUGUUAUAUCCAAGGCUCAUGAUGAAGGAAUCAAAUCUCUUAUACCAGCAUCUCGGCGCCUGUUUGAGACCGUAUAGAGAUUUGUUCAACCUGCAAAUCAAGUUCUCUUUUCCUAUUUCUUUAAAACCUUCUGGUUGGAGCAUAUAAAUCUCUUCUUCAAGUUCUCCAUGAAAAAAUGCAGUUUUCACAUCUA